rnacentral:tRNA from 1 species
UGGCUCAGUGGUAAGAGUGCUUGCCUUGCAUGCAUGAGGCCUGGGUUCGAUAUCUCAG